AGUGGGGGUUGGGGUAUAUAUUUAUACGCAUCGGAGUAUAUACUUUACCUCCACU
rnacentral:pre_miRNA from 1 species